rnacentral:rRNA from 1 species
AGAGUUUGAUCAUGGCUCAGGACGAACGCUGGCGGCGUGCUUAACACAUGCAAGUCACGGGGGCCCGCAAGGGCAACCGGCGAACGGGUGCGUAACACGUGAGCAACUUACCGAUUUGUGGGGGAUAGCCUGCCUAACGGCAGGGUAAUACCGCAUACGCUCUUUGGGUGGAGUCACCUGAAGAGGAAACCUCCGGGGCAAAUCGAGGGGCUCGCGGCCUAUCAGCUAGUUGGUGCGGGUAAUGGCCCACCAAGGCGAUGACGGGUAGCUGAUCUGAGAGGAUGGCCAGCCACAUUGGGACUGAGAAACGGCCCAGACUCCUACGGGAGGCAGCAGUGGGGAAUCUUGCGCAAUGGACGAAAGUCUGACGCAGCGACGCCGCGUGUGGGAGGAAGCUCUUCGGGGUGUAAACCACUGUUGCCCGGGACGAAAUGCCCUUUCGGGGGAAUUGACGGUACCGGGUGAGA